rnacentral:rRNA from 1 species
CAAGUCGAACGAGAAGCUAUCCUUCGGGAUAGUGGAAAGUGGCAGACGGGUGAGUAACGCGUGGGAACGUGCCUUUCGGUUCGGGAUAACUCAGGGAAACUUGGGCUAAUACCGAAUACGCCCUUCGGGGGAAAGAUUUAUCGCCGAAAGAUCGGCCCGCGUCGGAUUAGCUUGUUGGUGAGGUAAAAGCUCACCAAGGCGACGAUCCGUAGCUGGUCUGAGAGGAUGAUCAGCCACACUGGGACUGAGACACGGCCCAGACUCCUACGGGAGGCAGCAGUGGGGAAUAUUGGACAAUGGGCGCAAGCCUGAUCCAGCCAUGCCGCGUGGGUGAAGAAGGCCCUAGGGUUGUAAACCCCUUUCAGCGGGGAAGAUAAUGACGGUACCCGCAGAAGAAGCCCCGGCUAACUCCGUGCCAGCAGCCGCGGUAAUACGGAGGGGGCUAGCGUUGUUCGGAAUUACUGGGCGUAAAGCGCGCGUAGGCGGACUUUCAAGUCAGGGGUGAAAUCCCGAGGCUCAACCUCGGAACUGCCUUUGAUACUGUAAGUCUUGAGUCCGAGAGAGGUGAGUGGAAUUCCUAGUGUAGAGGUGAAAUUCGUAGAUAUUAGGAAGAACACCAGUGGCGAAGGCGGCUCACUGGCUCGGUACUGACGCUGA